rnacentral:rRNA from 1 species
CCAACCGGGGGUAAGCCUUAGUACGGCGAGUGAGCGGCAAAAGCUCAAAUUUGAAAUCUGGUACCUUCGGUGCCCGAGUUGUAAUUUGUAGAAGGUAACUUUGGGGCUGGUCCUUGUCUAUGUUCCUUGGAACAGGACGUCAUAGAGGGUGAGAAUCCCGUGUGGCGAGGAUCCCAGUUCUUUGUAAAGUGCUUUCGAAGAGUCGAGUUGUUUGGGAAUGCAGCUCUAAGUGGGUGGUAAAUUCCAUCUAAAGCUAAAUAUUGGCGAGAGACCGAUAGCGAACAAGUACAGUGAUGGAAAGAUGAAAAGAACUUUGAAAAGAGAGUGAAAAAGUACGUGAAAUUGUUGAAAGGGAAGGGCAUUUGAUCAGACAUGGUGUUUUGCGCCCUCUGCUCCUUGUGGGUGGGGGAAUCUCGCAGCUCACUGGGCCAGCAUCAGUUUUGGCGGCAGGAUAAAUCUGCAGGAAUGUAGCUUGCCUCGGUAAGUGUUAUAUCCUGUAGAAAUACUGCCAGCUGGGACUGAGGACUGCGACUUUACGUCAAGGAUGCUGGCAUAAUGGUUAUAUGCCGCCCGUCUUGAACACACGGGACCCAAAA